rnacentral:rRNA from 1 species
GAUCAUGGCUCAGGAUGAACGCUGGCGGCGUGCUUAACACAUGCAAGUCGAUCGAAGCGCUUUUGCGGAUUUCUUCGGAUUGAAGCAACUGUGACUGAGCGGGCGGACGGGUGAGUAACGCGUGGGUAACCUGCCUCAUACAGGGGGGAUAACAGUUGGAAACGGCUGCUAAUACCGCAUAAGCGCACAGUACCGCAUGGUACCGUGUGAAAAACUCCGGUGGUAUGAGAUGGACCCG